rnacentral:rRNA from 1 species
CAGUCGCCGCGGUAAUACGUAGGCCCCGAGCGUUGUCCGGAUUUAUUGGGCGUAAAGCGAGCGCAGGCGGUUUGAUAAGUCUGAAGUUAAAGGCUGUGGCUCAACCAUAGUUCGCUUUGGAAACUGUCAAACUUGAGUGCAGAAGGGGAGAGUGGAAUUCCAUGUGUAGCGGUGAAAUGCGUAGAUAUAUGGAGGAACACCGGUGGCGAAAGCGGCUCUCUGGUCUGUAACUGACGCUGAGGCUCGAAAGCGUGGGGAGCGAACAGGAUUAGAUACCCGAGUAGUCCCUGUCUCUUAUACA